UGGUGACCUGCCAUAAAGCGGACUAUAAAUUAACAACUAUUUCAUACCGAAAGAAAAUCACACUAAGCAAUCAAAAGUCCACGGUGCCCACAUGAGUUGACUGUAAAGGAUAUAUGGAACGUACGCAGUGGCCGUUCCUGGACAUGUAGGUGGUUCGGGGAGGCUUGAAGACUCAAUUCUCUGAUUUUUAUCCUUUUCUUUCGGAGUGGUAUCUUCAGCAUCUGGAUCAGGCUUUAUUGCACUCUCUGCAGUACUGGAUGUCAUUAAUCUGUCGAAUAUAAUUUAAUUGUUUUUAACGCGAGACUUAAGAUGUUGGUCUCUUGAGGAUGGUGAAUAUUUAAUGUAAAUUCAAGUUACACUUACCUACCAUGUGAAGGUUUCGUACUGGAUUUUGAAGUGGCUUGACUUUGUUCCUGACUGUGAUGUUGAUCACCCUUUACACCGAUUACU